rnacentral:rRNA from 1 species
GACGAACGCUGGCGGCGUGCUUAACACAUGCAAGUCGAACGGAAAGGCCCUGCUUUUGUGGGGUGCUCGAGUGGCGAACGGGUGAGUAACACGUGAGUAACCUGCCCUUGACUUUGGGAUAACUUCAGGAAACUGGGGCUAAUACCGGAUAGGAUCUCCUGCUGCAUGGUGGGGGUUGGAAAGUUUCGGCGGUUGGGGAUGGACUCGCGGCUUAUCAGCUUGUUGGUGGGGUAGUGGCUUACCAAGGCUUUGACGGGUAGCCGGCCUGAGAGGGUGACCGGCGACAUUGGGACUGAGAGACGGCCCAGACUGCUACGGGAGGCAGCAGUGGGGAAUAUUGCACAAUGGGCGGAAGCCUGAGACAGCAACGCCGCGUGCGGGAUGACGGCCUUCGGGUUGUAAACCGCUUUCGCCUGUGACGAAGCGUGAGUGACGGUAAUGGGUAAAGAAGCACCGGCUAACUACGUG